GACGAACGCUGGCGGCGUGCCUAAUACAUGCAAGUCGAACGCAGUGGGGACGGGUGAGUAACACGUGGGUAACCUCCCAUCAGAGGGGAUAACACUUGGAAACAGGUGCUAAACAGAUAUUGAUGGAUGGACCCGCGGUUCAUUAGCUAGUUGGUGAGGGAACGGUACACCAAGGCCACGAUGCAUAGCCGACCUGAGAGGGUGAUCGGCCACACUGGGACUGACACAAGGCCCAGAAGCCUCCGGGAGGCAGCAGUAGGGAAUCUUCGGAAAUGGACGAAAGUCUGACCGAGCAACGCCGCGUGAGGGAAGAAGGUUUUCGGAUCGUAAAACUCUGUUGUUAGAGCAGCGGUAUCUAACCAGAAAGCAAAGGCUAACUACGUGCCAGCAGCCGCGGUAAUAC
rnacentral:rRNA from 1 species